rnacentral:rRNA from 1 species
GCAGUCGAGCGCGAAUAGGGAAACCUUAGUAGAGCGGCGCACGGGUGCGUAACACGUGGAUAAUCUGCCUGGAUGCCUGGGAUAACCAGUCGAAAGAUUGGCUAAUACCGGAUAAGCCCACGGUUUCUUCGGAGACUGAGGGAAAAGGUGGCCUCUGUAUACAAGCUAUCACAACCAGAUGAGUCCGCGGCCCAUCAGCUAGUUGGCGGGGUAAUGGCCCACCAAGGCAACGACGGGUAGCUGGUCUGAGAGGACGAUCAGCCACACUGGAACUGAGACACGGUCCAGACUCCUACGGGAGGCAGCAGUGGGGAAUUUUGCGCAAUGGGCGAAAGCCUGACGCAGCAACGCCGCGUGUGUGAUGAAGGUCUUCGGAUUGUAAAGCACUUUCGACCGGGACGAAAACCCGUAGCCUAACACGCUACGGCUUGACGGUACCGGGAGAAGAAGCACCGGCUAACUCUGUGCCAGCAGCCGCGGUAAUACAGAGGGUGCAAGCGUUGUUCGGAAUUAUUGGGCGUAAAGCGCGUGUAGGCGGCGUGACAAGUCGGGUGUGAAAGCCCUCAGCUCAACUGAGGAAGUGCGCCCGAAACUGUCGUGCUUGAGUGCCGGAGAGGGUGGCGGAAUUCCCCAAGUAGAGGUGAAAUUCGUAGAUAUGGGGAGGAACACCGGUGGCGAAGG